rnacentral:tRNA from 1 species
GGCUCUGUGGUGCAACGGACAGCGCAUUGGACUUCUAGAGACUUGCUACUGAGGAAAUUCAAAGGUUGUGGGUUCGAGUCCCACCUGAGUCA